rnacentral:sRNA from 1 species
CAAUUCCCUUCCAUUGUGAUGAAGUUAUAUUCCCUCCUGAUAAUUGCAAUCCUUAGUAUCUCCGCCUCGACCUUGCCAACCGCAAUAUCACCAGAACUUGGAAGAAAGGAUAGCAUUGAACGACGGGGUGUAAUUCCAGGCUGGGAUUGGUUAGACGACCUCUUCGGAAAAUCAAAACCAAAGGGCGGGCAGACCACCGAAAAUGGGGUCAAAAAGUUCAAGGGUUGUCAGCCGUUAACUCUGAUAUUCGCCCGGGGAACGGACGAAAUCGGGAAUAUGGGAGAAAUAGUCGGUCCUUCUCUAACAACCGCAUUGAGAACCCUUCUGAAAGAAAAGGUCACUGUCCAAGGAGUCGAUUACCCUGCCUCUCUUCUAGGAAACUUGGACUUCGGGGA